UCUACAGUGGCCCUGAGGUGCAAAACAAAACGGCAAAUCAGAAAACACACAAAGAAAACAGAAAACACAACACAAAAAGAGAGAAAACAAUGGUUAAUCUUGUUGUGUUUUCUGAUAUUCCGCUGUUUUCUCCUUUUGUAUUGUGCUUUCUCUUUUUGCUGUUGUGUUUUAUUUUUUUGUGUUGUGUUUUCUCUUUUUGUGUUGUGUUUUCUCUUUUUGCCGUUGUGUUUUGCACCUCAGGGCCACCGUAGA